rnacentral:tRNA from 1 species
GCUGGGUUGGCAAAGUCCGGUCAAAUGCAAAAGGCCUAAGCCCUUUAUCCAGAGAUUCAAAUUCUCUACCCAGCA